CGUUAUCCGGAAUGAUUGGGCGUAAAGCGUCCGCAGGUGGCAGUUCAAGUCUGCUGUCAAAGACCGGGGCUUAACUUCGGAAAGGCAGUGGAAACUGAACAGCUAGAGUAUGGUAGGGGCAGAGGGAAUUCCUGGUGUAGCGGUGAAAUGCGUAGAGAUCAGGAAGAACAUCGGUGGCGAAGGCGCUCUGCUGGACCAUAACUGACACUCAGGGACGAAAGCUAGGGGAGCGAAUGGG
rnacentral:rRNA from 1 species